rnacentral:rRNA from 1 species
GCCCGCGGCGCGCCGCCCCGGGGGCGCGCGUCCGGACGAGCCCAGAACAACCCCCUUCGGGCGCGGCGAGCGCCAAGGAAUAGACAGGAGCGGAAGGGGCGGCCGCCCCGCCCGGCGCGAGCGUGCCCCGUCCGGGGGACGCGGCGCCGCCGCCGGGGAUCGGCCGCCCGUCUGUGAGCCACACCUAUGGACGAUUCGGCAACGGAUAUCUCGGCUCUCGCAUCGAUGAAGAACGUAGCGAAAUGCGAUACUUGGUGUGAAUUGCAGAAUCCCGUGAACCAUCGAGUCUUUGAACGCAAGUUGCGCCCGAGGCCACUCGGCCGAGGGCACGCCUGCCUGGGCGUCACGCCGCCCACCGCCCCCUCCCGCGGCAUUCCCGUGCCCGGCCGGGGAGCGGAGACUGGCCGUCCGUGCCCGAGCCCUCGGCGCGCGGUCGGCGGAAAAGGAGGACACCGUGCGGCGCGACACGGCGUGUGGGGGUCGAGGGGCGAUCCGUCGCCCGAUCGUGCGCCGCGCCCGCAUUCCGCCGCGCGCAGUGUCACCCGUGGGACCAGACCCGCCCGCAGCAGCGGGCGCCCGGACCGCGACCCCAGGUCAGGCGUGGCCACCCGCUGAAUUUAA